UGCCGAAUGCACGGGUGUGGUUAGAG
rnacentral:piRNA from 1 species